rnacentral:rRNA from 1 species
GUACGCUGGCGGCGUGCCUACUACAUGCAAGUCGAGCGCGGGAAGCGAACGGAACUCUUCGGAGGGAAGUUCGUGGAACGAGCGGCGGACGGGUGAGUAACACGUAGGCAACCUGCCUGUAAGACUGGGAUAACUCGCGGAAACGCGAGCUAAUACCGGAUAACACUUUCUAUCACCUGAUGGAAAGUUGAAAGGCGGCUUUUGCUGUCCUUACAGAUGGGCCUG